AUGAACAAUCUACUCGUUCACCUCGAUCUACAAUCCAUGACCACCACCACCAUCACCAAUUCGAUGACAACGACGACCAGCCAGCAGAGACAAGCCAUGGCGACCUGCAGCCAGCUCCUCCUCGCGCUCGUCGUCGUUGCCGCCGCCGUUGAUUGCAUGGCGGCGUUUGAUCAGGAUCACACGCCGUUCAAGCCAAUCCCGGACCUGUCCGUCCCGCGCAUCCAGGAGCUCGGCCGAUGGGCCGUGCAGCAGCACAAUGAUCAGACGGGCGACCGCCUGACGUUCACCAGAGUGAACGGCGGGCAGUUCCAGAUUGUGGCGCCGGCGCUCAACUACCUGCUUGCCAUUGACGCGACGAACGUCGACGGCACGGCCAGCACGCACUCCGCCCUGAUCUUCGUGCAGUACUGGACCAACACGCAACGGCUCGACUCUUUCAACUGA
rnacentral:rRNA from 1 species